GUGGUCGAAACAUCCUCCACUAAACCGAGUUGACGCUGCAAUUCAGCUUUGCAUAUUGAUUUUCCCUUUAUAUCUUCAGCACUGUAGUUUUCAGGGAGAUAAACAUCUAUUGAAGGAUCCCAUUUCGAGUUGUCCAACCCAAAAGGAGCAAAACACAACUUCUCCCUAGAUUAUAAGAAAAGUCAAAAUGCAAUUUAUUAAACCAUGAUCGGUGUUGUUUAAGAUGGCUAGAGAAGUGUCAGGAACUUACUUGUGAACAGCUAAAGUUGGUUCAAGUCCAGGGAUUGAAUUACGAUGGAGUGUCCUACCCUCAGAAGGUGAGGAUGGCAUUAUUACAACUUUGUUCGAGUAGACAAUACCACCCUAAGUAAGAAACAAAGUAAAGACAGUGUGAGAAUACGGGUGUAAUAAGAAGAGAUAACUCUUGUGUACUGUAUUUUUUUACCUUCAGUAAAUUAACCAGUUGUGGAUUCGUGUUAUCUUGUAAGCGAUCAGCACGGUGAACACUAGCUGGAUCAAGCCCACAUAGCUCCAACUUCUCAGGAGGCACAAGACACUAAAAACACACACACAAGACCGUGUACGCUAUACACAAGUUCUUAACCGUAUCUUGCCAAUGUAGAAUGUAUAAAACACCAGAGGGAAGAAAAGAAAA